rnacentral:rRNA from 1 species
CAUCAGCGGCGAACGGGUGAGUACACGUGGGUGACUUGCCCCGAAGAUGGGGAUACCUCGGGAGAGGGGGGCUAAUACCCAAUGUGCUCGGUGACUCGGUUCAUCGAGUAAAGCUCCGGCGCUUCGGGAGAGGCCUGCGGCCCAUCAGCUAGUUGGUAGGGUAACGGCCUACCAAGGCAGAGACGGGUAGGGGGCGUGAGAGCGCGGACCCCCACACUGGCACUGAGAUACGGGCCAGACUCCUACGGGAGGCAGCAGUAAGGGAUAUUGCGCAAUGGACGAAAGUCAGACGCAGCGACGCCGCGUGGGCGAUGAAGGCCUUCGGGUUGUAAAGCCCUUUUAUGGGGGAAGAGAAAAAGGACGGUACCCCAGGAAUAAGUCCCGGCUAACUACGUGCCAGCAGCCGCGGUAAAACGUAGGGGACAAGCGUUAUCCGGAUUCACUGGGCGUAAAGAGCGUUGAGGCGGUUCCGUAAGUUGGGCGUGAAAGCUCCGGGCUUAACUCGGAGAUGUCGUUCAAUACUGCGGGGCUUGAGGACAGCAGAGGAAGGUGGAAUUCCCGGUGUAGUGGUGAAAUGCGUAGAUAUCGGGAGGAACACCCGUGGCGAAGGCGGCCUUCUGGGCUGUUCCUGACGCUGAAGGCGAAAGCUAGGGGAGCGAACGGGAUUAGAUACCCCGGUAGUCCUAGCUGUAAACGAUGGAUGCUGGGUGUGGGGGG